rnacentral:rRNA from 1 species
GACAGAGGGUGCAAACGUUGUUCGGAAUUACUGGGCGUAAAGCGCGUGUAGGCGGUCGUGCAAGUCGGGUGUGAAAGCCCUCGGCUCAACCGGGAAAGUGCACUCGAAACUGCAUGACUAGAGUCUCGGAGAGGAUAGUGGAAUUCUCGGUGUAGAGGUGAAAUUCGUAGAUAUCGAGAGGAACACCGGUGGCGAAGGCGGCUAUCUGGACGAUGACUGACGCUGAGACGCGAAAGCGUGGGGGAGCAAACAGG